UACGUAGGUGGCAAGCGUUGUUCGGAAUUACUGGGCGUAAAGGGUUCGUAGGUGGCCAACUAAGUCAGACGUGAAAUCCCUCAGCUUAACUGGGGAACUGCGUCUGAUACUGGAUGGCUUGAGUGUAGGAGAGGAAUGCGGAAUUCCAGGUGUAGCGGUGAAAUGCGUAGAUAUCUGGAGGAACACCGGUGGCGAAGGCGGCAUUCUGGACUACAACUGACACUGAGGAACGAAAGCCAGGGGAGCAAACGGG
rnacentral:rRNA from 1 species